GCUAGUGGGGGUGGUGGUGACAGUGGGAUGGCGCUGGCAUUGGUGUAUUGGUUUAAGGCACUACAUUUUUUGGGAAGGACAGAAAUCAUGAAGUUAAAAGGAGGAACAGCGUUCAGCUCCCCAAGUCAACAGCCGGUGCCCAGGCCCCUGUCCUCCUGUGCACCUAUCUGCAGCCCCCACGUCUCCUGUUUGCCAUCGAUGCCAUCCCAUUGGAUUAAAUGAGGCCUUCUUUCUUCACGUCUGCCACCCAGUUCCCAGUAGGAUGCUUCCAACAGUUCAAAGUGUUGUUACAUGAAAGAAGAAAGAGAUUUGAACCUUAUGAGCUCUGAAGGCAGAGCUAGGUUCAAUGGAAAACAGGGAGGCAGAUUUCAAAUAAAUAACAGGAAGAAUUUUCUAUCAAGGAGGGGCAGUGGGAAGACUAUGGACUCUGCAGCGAAACCAACUCAGGUUCAAAUUCUGAUGCUGCUCUUAAUAGAUCUGUGAUCAUGGGAAAAUUACUUUCCCUCUCUGUGCCUUUGUUUCCUCUAGAAAAAUGGAGAGAAUGCCUCCUCAACAGGACUCUUUUUGGAUUAGAGCUCAAGCCACUCACUGGCCCCAUCCCCAUUGUUGGCUCUAUGAACCACAGCAAUUGUGUCCAGCAGCAAAAGCCAUCCAAGGUGGAGUUGAGACAUCCCUGAGGCCCUGAGUGCAGCCCAGCCCUGUUGGGUCUAGAAACUGGGAAUUUAAACUCAGGCAGGAGAGAGCAUGCGAAGGAGAAAGCUCUUCCAAAAGGUAAUAACUAUGUUCAUUGUUCAUAAAUUAUGAGUAGACACAGCCAUCUUUUCUAUGAAGCCAAAUCAUUAUGUUGGGGAGAUGACAGGGAGAGACUGGGCCAGGCUUGAUGGACCCAGUACUGUGUCCUGAUAACUCUACCUUCUCCCUAAACACUUUACUUUUCUUAAGGACAGAGGCAGAGAGACAAAUGAUUCUGUCUGGUGAACUUCUGAGAGGCCCAUUUGGAAGAAAAGAAUGUGAACAAUUCCCUGGCUUGAAAUUGAGAACUCCAGAAAUGAAAGCUUUCGAAUGAGUUAGCAUUGCUGCCUCAGUUUCCUUGUUUGUAGCACUGGACUUUUGCUAGUU